GCGAACAAGUGCGAGGCUCGCCAAGAACUAUCAACCUGUGCGCUCUAAUUAACGAAAUCCUCGCCUGUGUCAACUGCUGUCUCUAGAAAAAAAAUUAGCAGGGAAUGAGUCGCUAGCUCAGUGAGUAAUAACACUUAACCACAACCGUUUUUAUUGGGGACAAGUCAGAAAACAUGCUAGUAUCUCAAACAGAUAACAUCAAAAUGCCUUUUCAGAAACAAUAAAUAAUUUUCAGUCUCAUCAUGUUUUUUUCUUGUAGUAUAAUACAAUUAAAAGUUCAGUAAUAAGCUUGGUAACCACUGUAUAAUAUCAAAAUUCACCUUUGGGAGGUUUCAAUGAACGGAUCAUGUAAUCGGUAUAAUAGUGGACUUCUUCGCAAGAAGUCAAAUAUAACGGUAGUCCCUACUCGAGGGAAGUCGGUAACGGUAUGCUAGUUCUACUUCCCACUAGCGAGGGCUAUAACGGUAAUCUGUAAUUACAAGGUGCACCAGGUCUAACGAACCCGCCGUUAGCUACGGGAUCCUUCAAUGUCUUCUCCCAUUUAUACUUGUCUCUGUAAUUCGUAUAUACUCGUAGAAAAUAUUUUAAAACAAUAUAGGGCAUUUCAGUUUUUAUCAAAUCAUGUAAUUUCGUUUCAAUAACGGUAAAUCUUAUCUCAAGUAACAGUAAAACGUAUUCAGUAACAAUGAGAAUAUUCAGAAUAACUGUAAUCGUCUAAAAUAAAUAUAGUAGUAUCAUAUCGAGUAAAGGACUUGUCCCACAUACAGAUUCAAAUCAGUCGGUAACAUGCUCACAUUAAAAUCAUAUGUAAAUCAUGCUAGUUGUAGAAAUACAAAUUGAGGUAAGGUUACUACUCACAGUACUCGUGCCGAAAUACCAAAUACUUCACCUCGUGCGAUUCGUACGAAUUCCUCCAAUCAAUCUAUAAUUACAUAAUAUCGAUCCCAUGUUAAUUUCCUCAUUUAGGCUAAAUCCAUCACAAAUGUAGAAUAUCCAAAUCCUCCGAGUUUUAUAUUUCAUCAUCAAUUCGUCGGAUGUAUUUUAAUUACUUAAUUCACUCUCAUUAUUCUAUUCACUGUCAAUCAUCUCAUUAUUACAAUUUAUUGGCUAAUCCUUAGUAUCCAAAUUUACAACCAGCAACAGUAGAGACAACGUGGAUUUCUAAUGCAUUCUUAUGUCCCCAAAACUUAAAUCAUUAUUACACGAUCAUAUGCCUUCCUCCUUAUUACCCAAUCACUAGGUGGCCAUUAUAUCUUAAAUUAAAGAGAUAAAAUUAUAGUAGCAAAAACUUUAUUUCAAAACAGACUACUCCAAACUUGAAAUUACAUAUAAUUUUUGUUAAACCAUUAACUAAUUAGUUAUUAUAAUAAUUAGUAAGUUAUUUUUCCCCUAAAUCAUUACCUAAUAAUUGUAAUACAUAAAUAAUAAUCACCAUCCCAAUUACGUAUACAAAUCACGUAAAGCGAGUUUCCAAUUUAAGUUGGCAGUGGCUUUUCGUUCAACUGCUGAAAGUUGAGACUAAGAACUUUUAAAAUUUCCAAUUCCCAACCAGCGAAAUCGCUACCCUUUAAUUAUUAAAGACCACUUGCUCCAACUUAAAUGCACAUACAAACGAAAGGAUAUUGAUAUUAAUAUACCUGAUUGCUUUGAUUUCUCUACCAAAGUUCCCGCACAGUGCCAAUUUUUCAAAGUAAAUUAAUUGAUAUCUUUUCUGGUGUAGUGCCAACGUCUGCUCACCCUCCUUGUAAC
rnacentral:lncRNA from 1 species